rnacentral:rRNA from 1 species
UACGUAGGGUGCAAGCGUUGUCGGAAUUAUUGGGCGUAAAGAGCUCGUAGGCGGUUUGUCGCGUCUGCUGUGAAAACUCGGGGCUUAACCCCGGGCCUGCAGUGGGUACGGGCAGACUAGAGUGCGGUAGGGGAGACUGGAAUUCCUGGUGUAGCGGUGAAAUGCGCAGAUAUCAGGAGGAACACCGGUGGCGAAGGCGGAUCUCUGGGCCUUACCUGACGCUGAGGCGCGAAAGCUAGGGGAGCAAACAGG